CAGGCUGUCUUCUGUCAGCUCCCCGUCACCACCAUCACUUCUGGAAGCACAUUUCCCAGAGCCCCCUUUCCUCUAUGGUUCCCUAGGGAGUUGCUCAGGAGGCACCUUACCCUAGAUCUGGAGGUCAGAAGAGGAGGAUUCAAUGCCUUCUGUCAGCACCUGCAGGCAGACAUCUGAUUAAAGACACAGGGCCUGCCAACCAGCUAACAGCAGAGAAAGGACUCCAGGUUCUGCCCAGGUUGGCAUCAUAUGUUGAUACGCCCAACAGCAUAAACCUGAAGAAAUAUAUGUCAAGACACAUCGAAUUAUCAUUUCUGAGCACUAAAGAAAAAGGAAGAAUAGCACAGGAUGAAAGAGAAAAAUCACAUCUCAGAGAGGAAAACACCUCGAAUGACAGAGGAUUUCUACUCAGAAACCAUGGGAAGGAAGGAAAUGAUGUCAACGUUUUUUGUUGUUUUUUUUUUUUUCUAGAUAAAAUUGACAUAUAACAUUGUGUAAGUUUAAGUUUUACACAAUGUGAUAAUUUGAUCUACGUUUAUAUUGUGAAAUGGUUACCAACAUAAGGAGAGUUAGAGCAACCGUCACUUCAUAUAAUUAUCCUUUUUGUUUUACUUAUUUACUUUUUUGUGGUGAGAACAUUGAUGGUCUAGUCUCUUAGUAACGUUCCAGUACAAUAUAAUACUGUUAACUACAGUCACCAUGCUGUACAUGAGAUCAGCAGAAAUUAUUUCAUAUGCAGAAGUUUGUACCCUGUGAUCAAAUCUCCCCUACCUAUCUCACCACCCAGCCCCUGGCAACCACCAAUCUAGUCUCUGUUUCUAUGUAUUUGGCUGUUUUAGAUUCCACAUGGAAGUGAUACUAUACAUAAUGGCUUUCUCUGUCUUCGUCAUUUCACUUAGCAUAUAACUUUCACGUUUUAUCCAUGUUGUCUCAAAUGGCAAGGUUCCCUUCCCUUUCAUGGCUGAGUAGUAUUUCAUUGCGUGCGUACACAUGUAUAGCACAUCUUCUUUAUCCAUUUAUCCGUCAUUGGACACUUAGGUUGUUUCCAUAUCGUGGCUGUUUUAAUAAUGCUGCAAUGGGCUCAGUGGUGCAUAUAUAUUUUAAAAUACCCAGUAGUGGAAUAGCUGAAUCAUAGGGUGGUUCUAUUGUUAAGUUUUUGAGGAAACUCCAUACUGUUUUCCAUGGUGACUGCACCAAUUUUCAUCCCCAGCAACAACACGUGAGUGCGUUUCUCCUUAUCCUCUCCAUAACCUCCUUCUCGUAUGUUCUAUAACCCUUGGUAUUUCUUGUGUUUCUUUUUUUUUUCUUUUUUUGUGUUAAUAGGUACUGAAUUUUGCAUCUGCUGAGACAAUCUUAUGAAUUUUACCCUUAAUUUUGUUAAUGUGAUCUAUCAUGCUGAUUGAUUUAUGGAUAUUGAAUGACCCUUGCAUCUCUGGAAUAAAUCCUUCUUGAUCACGCUGUAUGAUCCUUUUAAUGUAUUGCUGAAUUUGGUUUGCUAAUAUUUUGUAGAGGAUUUUUGCAUCUAUGUUCAUCAAGGAUAUGGCCCUUCUGUUCUGGACGCCAAGAGCAACAGCCUCACCUCCCAUCCCCUUCUUGUCCAGGCUGGGCUGGCCCCCAGAAUGGGAUCUGGGAGCGGAGGCAGGUGCACAUAACUCGGGCUCCUUGAAAUUACGGAAACAUGAUAAUGUGGACAUGCAGCUUGCUCCAAACUGUACCUAGGUGAAUAAAUGUUUAAUUUCAAACCCUAUUAUUUGCCCUAUAAAUAUGGCCCUUGUGGGGAUGGUCCACUGGAAGUGUUCCCUGAGAGGAGGACGCUCUGCCCAGGCCUCUCAGUCAGGACUCGGGCAUGUCUGUCUCCACGGGGCUUCCCCAGCUGCUGAGGUGGGGUGUUGUAAGUACCCGCUACGAGGUAAAGUGACCUUAUACUCAUUCGUAUACUCAUUUGUAUGCUUAUACUAAUAGUAUACUCCUACUAUU